UGUAAGCACUUGAAACUACAGGGCUUGAGUACAGGAGAGGAGAGUGGAAUUCCUAGUGUAGCGGUGAAAUGCGUAGAUAUUAGGAGGAACACCAGUGGCGAAGGCGACUCUCUGGACUGUUACUGACGCUGAGGCUCGAAAGCGUGGGGAGCAAACAGGAUUAGAUACCCUGGUAGUCCACGCCGUAAACGAUGAGUGCUAGGUGUUGGGGCCGACAGGUUUCAGUGCCGCAGUUAGCACAUUAAGCACUCCGCCUGGGGAGUACGAUCGCAAGAUUGAAACUCAAAGGAAUUGACGGGGGCCCGCACAAGCAGCGGAGCAUGUGGUUUAAUUCGAAGCAACGCGAAGAACCUUACCAGGACUUGACAUCCCACAGACAGAAUUAGAGAUAAUUCCUUCCCUUCGGGGACUGUGGUGACAGGUGGUGCAUGGUUGUCGUCAGCUCGUGUCGUGAGAUGUUGGGUUAAGUCCCGCAACGAGCGCAACCCUUACCUUUAGUUGCCAGCAGGUUAAGCUGGGCACUCUAGAGGGACUGCCGGUGACAAACCGGAGGAAGGUGGGGAUGACGUCAAAUCAUCAUGCCCCUUAUGUCCUGGGCUACACACGUGCUACAAUGGUCGGUACAACGGGUAGCCAACCCGCAAGGGGGAGCUAAUCCCAAUAAGCCGAUCCCAGUUCGGAUUGUGGGCUGCAACUCGCCCACAUGAAGUUGGAGUUGCUAGUAAUCGCGGAUCAGAAUGUCGCGGUGAAUGCGUUCCCGGGCCUUGUACACAC
rnacentral:rRNA from 1 species